UGGGGAAUUUUGGACAAUGGGCGCAAGCCUGAUCCAGCAAUGCCGCGUGAGUGAAGAAGGCCUUCGGGUUGUAAAGCUCUUUUGUCAGGGAAGAAACGGCGCGGAUUAAUACUCUGCGCUAAUGACGGUACCUGAAGAAUAAGCACCGGCUAACUACGUGCCAGCAGCCGCGGUAAUACGUAGGGUGCAAGCGUUAAUCGGAAUUACUGGGCGUAAAGCGUGCGCAGGCGGUUUUGUAAGUUUGUCGUGAAAGCCCCGGGCUCAACCUGGGAAUGGCGAUGAAGACUGCAAGGCUUGAAUCUGGCAGAGGGGGGUAGAAUUCCACGUGUAGCAGUGAAAUGCGUAGAGAUGUGGAGGAACACCGAUGGCGAAGGCAGCCCCCUGGGUCAAGAUUGACGCUCAUGCACGAAAGCGUGGGGAGCAAACAGG
rnacentral:rRNA from 1 species